AGCCUGGGAACCUCCAUAUGCCACAGGAGAGGCCCAAGAAAUGGCAAAAAGACAAAAAAUUUUCUUUCAUAGCUCUCUCUCCAUUUGGGUUUAUGAGCUCCUGGGGGGCAGGUGUUAGAGGUCUGUGAACCCGCCCCUCUUCAGCACUCAGCUGAUGUCAACUGCAAGGGUAGAUGCUUCACCUUUUUCUGCGCAUUACCAAUUUCAUGUAGCUGAGAAAGGAAAAUACUGAGGUCAAAGUGACCAGCUUUCUAAUGGGAAUCUACAAGGUGUCAGAAAGUGCUCAGGGGGCUUCCGCAUGCAUUAUCUGCCCUCUUUAAUUUCAUAACACAAUUCUGAGGAAACAGACUCAAAGAGCCCAGGCAAAUACUUGUGGCUCAUCAGCAGGUUCAUGGUACAGCCCAGAUCCAUUACAUGAGCCCACAUUUGAGCACAACAAUGAAAGGACUGUGCUUUUCCUCCCUUCCUCCUAGAUCUCCAGCUUCCAAAGGGGAGCAGGACAACCCACAGGACGGUGGAAACCUCAAGAGCAUCCUUUCAGCCGGAACACCUGCACCAAGGCAGUGGUCUGGAUGCUUGGGGCCCCAGCCACUAGAGGGCACUGCACACCCAGGGAGAGACAGCCGUGGGCAUCCCCUCCUGGGUUCUUCCAUCAGAUUGCAUAGCGUCGUGGAAGCCUCCCUCAUCACUCUCGACUGGGAUGACUCAGCUGUCCCCAGAAGGCAGCCCCACGAACAUCCACCCCUGCUUAUGUUGUUCUGUCUCUGAAGGUCAAAGACUAGACAUCUGGACAGGGUCUACUGCAGCCCCUGGCCCUGUGACAGACUUGGCCAACUCAGGCCAAGACUAUCGACCGAUCUCAUCAUCGUCACAGACUAACAUAAACAAGAGCUAAUGUUUACCUUCCCAACAACAAUCAUAAAGGAUGAUUAUUACCCUCCCUCUUUUAGAGAAGGGGAAACGGGACUCAAGAGUCAAGCCUUACUGUGAAUCAAAGCCAGGGCUUGAAGUGAAGUCUCUCUGGUGCUAGUCUGUGGUCUUUGUAAUGAAUGGAGCUGUCUUUUGGUCCUCAGUUCACCAUCUGGAGUUAAUGAAAGUUGAGAUUUUUAUUCAUUUUCUCAUUCACUCAAAUUACUUGCUUCGUUGAGGUGUGUCUGGUAUGCACAAAAUUGCAUCCAUCCAGUGUAUACACCUUUGUGUUUGUGAUUGCACCUGGGAUAGCAUCAGUGUAACCAGGGUGCUGACGUGUUCAUCACCUCCAAAGAUGCCCUUGUGUCCUUUUGUGGGGUUUUGUUUUGGUGGGAACACGUAAUAUGAGACCUGUUCUCCUAACAUAUUUUAAAGUAGACAUUCUUUAAAGUGCACAUGCUUUUAACCUGUAGUUAUUGUUGACUAAAGGUACUAUAUUGUAUAGCAAAUCUCUAGAACUCACUGUGUGUAGCAGAAAGUUUGUACGCAUCGAAAAGCAACCCCCACUAUCCUAUCUCACAGUCCUCUCCUUUGCAUUUCUGUGGCAUCAAUUUUAAUGUCUCAUCUUUCAUUUCUAAUUUUAUUUAUGGGAACCUUUUUUGCUUAAUCUUAAGAAACCAGCUCUUAUUUUCAUUGAUCUUUUCUAUUCUAGGCUUUAUUUCAUUUAUAUCUGCUCUGAUCUUAUUUCACCCCCUCUGAUAACCUUGGGUUUUGUUUGUUCUUUUUCCAGUUCCUUGAGGUAUAAAGUCAGGUUGGGUUGAGA